rnacentral:rRNA from 1 species
AGAGUUUGAUCAUGGCUCAGGACGAACGCUGGCGGCGUGCUUAACACAUGCAAGUCGAACGGAAAGGCCCUUCGGGGUACUCGAGUGGCGAACGGGUGAGUAACACGUGGGUGAUCUGCCCUGCACUUUGGGAUAAGCCUGGGAAACUGGGUCUAAUACCGAAUAGGACCACGCGCUUCAUGGUGUGUGGUGGAAAGCUUUUGCGGUGUGGGAUGGGCCCGCGGCCUAUCAGCUUGUUGGUGGGGUAAUGGCCUACCAAGGCGACGACGGGUAGCCGGCCUGAGAGGGUGACCGGCCACACUGGGACUGAGAUACGGCCCAGACUCCUACGGGAGGCAGCAGUGGGGAAUAUUGCACAAUGGGCGCAAGCCUGAUGCAGCGACGCCGCGUGAGGGAUGACGGCCUUCGGGUUGUAAACCUCUUUCAAUAGGGACGAAGCGCAAGUGACGGUACCUAUAGAAGAAGCACCGGCCAACUACGUGCCAGCAGCCGCGGUAAUACGUAGGGUGCGAGCGUUGUCCGGAAUUACUGGGCGUAAAGAGCUCGUAGGUGGUUUGUCGCGUUGUUCGUGAAAACUCACAGCUUAACUGUGGGCGUGCGGGCGAUACGGGCAGACUAGAGUACUGCAGGGGAGACUGGAAUUCCUGGUGUAGCGGUGGAAUGCGCAGAUAUCAGGAGGAACACCGGUGGCGAAGGCGGGUCUCUGGGCAGUAACUGACGCUGAGGAGCGAAAGCGUGGGGAGCGAGCAGGAUUAGAUACCCUGGUAGUCCAA